rnacentral:rRNA from 1 species
GAUGAACGCUAGCGGGAGGCUUAACACAUGCAAGUCGAGCGGCAGCACGGACUUCGGUCUGGUGGCGAGCGGCGCACGGGUGCGUAACGCGUAUGCAACCUGCCUUAUACAGGGGGAUAGCCCAUGGAAACGUGGAUUAAUACCCCAUAACAUCAUGAAUUCGCAUGGAUUUAUGAUUAAAAUUCCGAUGGUAUAAGAUGGGCAUGCGUCUGAUUAGCUAGUUGGUGAGGUAACGGCUCACCAAGGCGACGAUCAGUAGGGGUUCUGAGAGGAUUAUCCCCCACACUGGUACUGAGUCACGGACCAGACUCCUACGGGAGGCAGCAGUGAGGAAUAUUGGUCAAUGGGCGGGAGCCUGAACCAGCCAUCCCGCGUGCAGGAUGACGGCCCUAUGGGUUGUAAACUGCUUUUCUACGCCAAGAAACGGCCCUACGUGUAGGGCACUGACGGUAGCGUAGGAAUAAGCAUCGGCUAACUCCGUGCCAGCAGCCGCAGUAACAC